GUGGGGAAUAUUGCGCAAUGGGCGAAAGCCUGACGCAGCGACGCCGCGUGAGGGAUGAAGGCCUUCGGGUUGUAAACCUCUUUCAGCAGGGACGAAGCGAAAGUGACGGUACCUGCAGAAGAAGCACCGGCUAACUACGUGCCAGCAGCCGCGGUAAUACGUAGGGUGCAAGCGUUGUCCGGAUUUAUUGGGCGUAAAGAGCUCGUAGGCGGUUUGUCGCGUCGGAUGUGAAAACCCAGGGCUCAACCCUGGGCCUGCAUUCGAUACGGGCAGACUAGAGUAUGGCAGGGGAGACUGGAAUUCCUGGUGUAGCGGUGAAAUGCGCAGAUAUCAGGAGGAACACCGGUGGCGAAGGCGGGUCUCUGGGCCAAAACUGACGCUGAGGAGCGAAAGCGUGGGGAGCGAACAGGAUUAGAAACCCUGGUAGUCCC
rnacentral:rRNA from 1 species